rnacentral:rRNA from 1 species
UGCAGUCGACCGCGAAAGUCCCGCAAGGGAUAAGUAGAGUGGCAAACGGGUGAGUAACGCGUGGGUGACCUGCCCUCGAGUGGGGGAUAACGUUCCGAAAGGGACGCUAAUACCGCAUAAUAUGCCGCCUUUUAAGAGGUGGACAUCAAAGCCUGGGACCGCAAGGCCAGGCGCUUGACGAGGGGCCCGCGUCUGAUUAGCUAGUUGGUGGGGUAACGGCUCACCAAGGCAUCGAUCAGUAUCCGGCCUGAGAGGGCGGACGGACACACUGGGACUGAGACACGGCCCAGACUCCUACGGGAGGCAGCAGUGGGGAAUUGUUCGCAAUGGGCGCAAGCCUGACGACGCAACGCCGCGUGGAGGAUGAAGACCUUCGGGUCGUAAACUCCUUUCGAUCGAGACGAAUGGCCUCUGGGUUAAUAGCCUAGGGGAGUGACGGUACCGAGAGAAGAAGCCCCGGCUAACUCCGUGCCAGCAGCCGCGGUAAUACGGGGGGGGCAAGCGUUGUUCGGAAUUACUGGGCGUAAAGGGCUCGUAGGUGGCCAACUAAGUCAGACGUGAAAUCCCUCGGCUUAACCGGGGAACUGCGUCUGAUACUGGAUGGCUUGAGUUUGGGAGAGGGACGCGGAAUUCCAGGUGUAGCGGUGAAAUGCGUAGAUAUCUGGAGGAACACCGGUGGCGAAGCGGCGUCCUGGACCAACACUGACACUGAGGAGCGAAAGCCAGGGGAGCAAACGGGAUUAGAUACCCCGGUAGUCCUGGCCUAAACGAUGAAUGCUUGGUGUGGCGGGUAUCGAUCCCUGCCGUGCCGAAGCUAACGCAUUAAGCAUUCGCCUGGGGAGUACGGUCGCAAGGUGA